GACGAACGCUGGCGGCGUGCUUAACACAUGCAAGUCGAACGAUGAAGAAGAGAAACGCGAACUUCGGUUCAAAUUUCACUUCGGAUUAGUGGCAGACGGGUGAGUAACGCGUGAGCAACCUACCUCUUACAAAGGGAUAGCCUCGGGAAACCGUGAUUAACACCAUAUGACACAUUCAUAAGGCAUCUUAAGAAUGUUAAAGCUACGGCGGUAAGAGAUGGGCUCGCGUCCCAUUAGCUAGUUGGUGAGGUAACGGCCCACCAAGGCGACGAUGGGUAACCGGCCUGAGAGGGUGAACGGUCACAGUGGAACUGAGACACGGUCCAAACUCCUACGGGAGGCAGCAGUGGGGAAUAUUGCACAAUGGAGGGAACUCUGAUGCAGCGACGCCGCGUGAGCGAUGAAGGAAUUCGUUUCGUAAAGCUCUGUUCUAUGGGAAGAAAAGGACUGUACCAUAGGAGAAAGCCCCGGCUAAAUACGUG
rnacentral:rRNA from 1 species